GUUAAAACACUUUUAACGAGAAGAUAAGCUAGAUUGUAUGUGUUUCCUUAGCUUUCUUGUAUACACUACCUAUCGUAUGUUAAAACUAACUGAAGGAAAAUUAUUUAAGCUAUGGUUUACUAGUAUAUUUCAGGUAUGCUUUCUAGUACAGGUUUCCAAUAACCUUUAUGGUUAUUAUCAGUAUCAGAUGUAUCAUCAACUCUUUCUACUCUCUGUUGAUCCUGAAGCUGA
rnacentral:misc_RNA from 1 species